rnacentral:rRNA from 1 species
UACGUAGGGUGCAAGCGUUGUCCGGAAUUAUUGGGCGUAAAGAGCUCGUAGGCGGUUUGUCGCGUCUGCUGUGAAAACUCAGGGCUUAACUCUGAGCUUGCAGUGGGUACGGGCAGACUAGAGUGCGGUAGGGGAGACUGGAAUUCCUGGUGUAGCGGUGAAAUGCGCAGAUAUCAGGAGGAACACCGGGGGCGAAGGCGGGUCUCUGGGCCGAUACUGACGCUGAGGAGCGAAAGCGUGGGGAGCGAACAGG